CUUUAUUCCUCAAGUACCGUCAGAUCUUCUUCCUUGAGAAAAGAGGUUUACAGCCCAGAGGCCUUCAUCCCUCACGCGGCGUUGCUCCGUCAGGCUUGCGCCCAUUGCGGAAAAUUCCCA
rnacentral:rRNA from 1 species